UACAGAGGGUGCGAGCGUUGUUCGGAAUUACUGGGCGUAAAGCGCACGUAGGCGGAUUUGUAAGUCAGGGGUGAAAUCCCGGGGCUCAACCCCGGAACUGCCUUUGAUACUGCAAAUCUCGAGUCCGGAAGAGGUGAGUGGAAUUCCUAGUGUAGAGGUGAAAUUCGUAGAUAUUAGGAAGAACACCAGAGGCGAAGGCGGCCCACUGGUCCGGUACUGACGCUGAGGUGCGAAAGCGUGGGGAGCAAACAGG
rnacentral:rRNA from 1 species